CUAGCCCAGGAGAACAACACGUGCUAUUUGAUUUGCUACGCAGUCGGAUGUGCCACAAACCUCUGAAAAACUUAUGAGGGAGCAAAGGUAAACACGCCGGGCUUGUGUGUGUGCACGCAAACGUGAACACAUGACUGAGUUUAGGACACAGGCUUCUUUUAAGUCCCGACUACGCGUUCGCUGAGAAUGCUGCUGUAACGAACCUGGCAGGCUGUCCUCCAACACCCAAUUUUCACCAAGGGGAAGCUC